CUUUGCACGUAUAAACGAAUUUUCCAAAGAUUUUCUCAUUGUGAUAAAAAUCAGCGUCGUAAGGUGUAGUGAGUGAUUGCCCCAUAUUAUAUCUAAGCAGCAGAGUGCACAAUAGGGAAAUAUUGUUCUUACCCAGGCUGCCGAACUGGGCGAGAUGCCAGCAGAGCAAACUGCAAGCGCUUAGGACGACGGCAGCUGUCUGUCUUCAAGAUACCAAAGAAUAUGCAACAACGAUGGAGCGAAGUCCUUGGACAGUGUUUCGACUGAUCAUCUGUGCAUCCUGUGGUGCAACCAAUUGGUCCAGAUGAACCUUCGGGCGCUUUUUGAAUGUGUGGCUACGAAAACUCGUCCGCCUAAUAUAACUUACGACUCGGAACGGAAAAUUCGUGCCCUCGAUUGUUAUUUCCGGAGCCGUAUAUUCGAAAAAAACGUCUUCCAUACGAGGACAAGACGAAAUUCGAGCCCGGAAGCGAAUGGAUCGAAGACAUCAUUAGACAAUGCACUUGGAGUCGGAAAGCCGUUUCUCAAUUAGAAUAUAUCACUGAUUGAAUUGGGUUUCGUGGAUUUUUUCAAAAAGUUGUCACUCGAGAACUGGAUGAAAAAAAAAUAUAAAAAAAAUAUGGUAGCCUCUACUAAUGUGAG